GGGGGGGGGGGGAGGUGACUGUCGGGACAGUGCUUUCAGUACCCAGGUCGACAGGUGGAACUUGGAGCAAUUUGAUCAAGCCUGACGGGCGGGCGGGCUCCUCCGGGCCUGCCCAUAUGGUCCUGGCUGGGGAGGGAACGCCGUCUUAGGUCACAGUCUGCGGGUGUCAGGGCCUUGAGGGUCCAGUGCGAUGAAGUCAGUCCCUUCACUGGACAGACCCCCGAGUAGAUGGGAGCCAGGAGGUGUGAGGGACUUGCCCGAGGUCACCCGGGGCAGUCAGUGCCCAGUGGUCUUAGCCCUGCGCCACCGCCUGGAGUCUGCCCCUGGAAUCUGCAUUGCUUCCAGGGGAGAUAAUGAGCCUGUCCCCAAACACCUACAAGAGACACCCCCCCCCCCCCACAUCCCCUGGGAAGCAGACACAGAACUUGGGCUGUUGCUAAGCGCAGUUUUUCAGGGAGCACAGACAGAUGGAGGUCAUGCGGGCACCUGGACCAAGGAAUGUGCGGCUGGCAGGGCCUCCGAGGGGAUUUUCUGGUACCUCCCCUUCUGGUCCCCGAGGAGACCUGCAGCUGGUGACCCAAGGGUGGGGCAGGGCCUGUGUCCUCUGCUGGCUCAGAGGGCAGCCAUGGGAGUCUUGUUAUUUGAAUAAACUUUUCAUCUUCUAUCUGCAUAAAGCCUCCCCAUGCUCCGAGUCCCUGGCAUUCCAGCCCCAGAUUGGGUUUCCUCUGGCCCAGCAGCAAACACAUGGUGAAUUUUCAUAUUGGCUCAUCCGCCCUCCCUCCCCCUCCCCCUCAGCCUCUCCCUCCCUGGCUUUGAAAAGGCAGGAACCCUCCCCCUGCCCCCACCUCACUUGCCUGCAGGACCCAGGGAGCCAGCACGGCAGGCAGGUGUGUGUGCAGCCUGGACUUGGUGUAAAGAAUGUUGACAUCAGAGGGCACUCGGCUAAUGAAACGUGGGGGAUUGUGCCUCUGUUUAGCCCGUCUCUGUUAGAAUUGGGCCACAGGGACUGGCAUUUAUUAGUGAGUGGUUCUUAUUAGGACAGCAGCUGGUAUUUAUUGGGCUCUCACCCACUGUCAGGCAGAGUGCCAAACACUUCUCACACUUUGUCUUAUUCCUCACAGCGACUCUUUGAGGUGUGUACUCUUUUUCUCCCCAUUUUAUAGAUGAAGAAACUGAGGCUUGGAAGUCAUGGUCAGCAGCAGAGCCGGGUCUGCUGGUCCCAAAGUUUGUUCACCUCCCACCUGGGACAGAAUCUUCUCUGCAGCCUCCUUGCCAGUUGGCCACCCAGCCUCUGCUUGCACACCUCCAGUGAUGGGGAACUCUCUACCUCGCAGAGCCGCCUGCCCCACGCUGGGCAUCUUAGAUAGAAAGCCCUCCCUGGAGUUUUAUCUGUCUCUGGUGGGUCACUGAGAACAGGCUCCAGCGUGGCUUUCGCUGCUAUGGCUGGGCUUUCCCAGCGUCUCCUUUCCCAGGGAAUUAUCCAAUUUUUGUUUGGGGAGAAGAGCUAAGUCCUUCCUUCUUUUCCUUAGCAGCUCCUGCCUGGUACUCAGCCCUUUAAAGAGUCAUUCAUCGAAUACUGAGCAAGAUUGAUGUUGAAACCCUAGCUCAGUGGUUCUCAACCUUCCGAAUGCCGCGACCCUUUAAUACAGUUCCUCAUGUUGUGGUGACCCCCCAUUUCAUUGUUACAAAUUGAACAUAAAGCACAGUGAUUCAUCGCAGAAACAAUAUGUAAUUAUAUAUGUGUUUUCCGUUGGUCUUAGGCGACCCCUGUGAAAGGGUCGUUCGACCCCCAAAGGGGCCGUGACCCACAGGUUGAGAACCGCUGCCCUAGAGGCUUUUCAUUGAUCUGGAUGUCUUAGUCAAUGCGACAAGGAAAAAAAACCAAAAACGGUAUCACGACAAGGUACCAAAAAGCAAGACACACAUGGUCCUGCCGUCGUGAAGUUCAACGGACUUUUACCUCUAGCCUCUCCCUUGGCCUUGUCCACCUGUGGGAAGUGGAGGCUCGGAGAGACAAGGAACCACCCACCUCCACCGCCAGGGAGCAAACCGGGUUUGGUCGCUGAGGUUUGGUGGCGUGUGGCUUGUCGGGUGUCUGCUUUCAGAAUCUUCAUUUCUCUCUCCAUUUUCCCUUUCUGAUGAGUUAACCUUCGAGGGCCCGGGAGAUUGAAACCCAAGCAUGUAGCUGCUGUUCUGGUUCUUCUUUGCUGGCCCCCAUUCACUGUCAUGAAACACAGCACAGAGGACGGUCAUUCGCACAGGCAGCUCCCUCUGUGCCCACCCCGAUGACAGCAGCCGUAGGAGGAAGAAGCUCGCGCGCAGGGAACAGGGACGCUCCUCGGGCGGCCACUGCAGCCCAGAGCUGGGCUGUGCUCUGUGUCUGUCUGGCUCCCCUGCCAGGGCUCUCUCAGGGGCAGGCGGUCGGGAGCUGAGCAGGGUGCUCAGUGCGGGGUGGCUGGCCCUCCGGUGAUCUUGCAGCUCUGGGAGUCUCCACCUGCCUUUGACCCUCCCUUUGAUCCUUUCUUCACGACUCCAUUGGCCUGGGUGAGGCUGUGGCCGUGUCAGGGCGCCGUGCAGGACACCAGCCUGCGGAGCCAGCCCGAGACGUGCUCCUGGGAGCAGCAGGGGUGCCCUCCGUGGCAGGCACAGCACGGGCACCAGGGGGGCUGUGGGUAGGCCGGCCCUGUCCUGGGUGGGGGACGCUGCAGGGGGGCCUUGGCACCCUCCCUUCUUCACCCUCCCAGCUGGGGUCUGUGCUCCCAGAGAGCAGGGACGCCUGGGUUCUAGGCCCCAGAACAAGCCGCCAACUGUAGGCUGUGGGUACGGGCAGCGAGGGAGGGGCCGGCGGGCAUGAGAGGGCUUUUGUUUCCCUGUUUGUGUCUAGAUGGGAAUGGACUUCUUCCCUCCAGGCAGCCUGGAGGUGUAGAGGAAAGGGCAGCCCCGGGUGGCUGGGUCUUCAGUCUGCCUUGUUUCUGACGUUUCUCCAGAACACUCCAGCCAGCCCUCCCUCCUCAGGCCCUCCGGCCUCAGAGCUCAUGCUUCCUGCCAGACUUGGGUCGCUGAGCUGAGCUGUGGUUAAAUAUUUGCUAACUGAGAAGAGCUUUAAAGGCGGCUCUGUGAGAACUCCCAACCAGCUCCUCCUGGCCCGCCCGCCGCCUUGCCCCAAAGCUGCCUUCGUGAUGGGGAGGCCCGGCCGCCUCGGCCCUGCUGAGCCUCCCCCCGGGCCCACCAGCCUCCUGCACAGCCCAUUUGGCAUCUGAAACUGGAUGAGCUCCCACCGGGCGUCGUUCACUCAGCAUGUGUUUACCGAGCACCCACCUGGGCCGGCCAUGAGCUGGGUGCCGGAGGUGGAGCCUUUCUCAGUGACGCAGUGAUUGUGGCUGGGAAGAGUGCCAAGGGUAGGGGAGGCUGCGGUAGGAGGUUGUGGGGAUAGGACUUGGGGUGGGGGCGUCCCCGAGGAGGUGGCGUUUGAGCUUGGGGAGGAAGAGGUGACGUUUGUGCCUGGCCAGAUGGAGGGGGUGGGCUCUGGGAGAGCAUUCCAGGCCAGAGACCCCAAGACCCGAGCCUGCUUUCCUGUCUGGGUACUGAAUUCCCACUGACUUCGUUCUCCCCAUUCCCCCCCCCCCCAGCCUCAGUUUCCCCAUCUGUCCAAUGGGGAGCUUGGACUUGAUCUCAGAGGGCCCUUCUCAGGUCCAGUGGCCUGUUACCAGCCCCGGGGAGCUGCCCUCCAGUGGGGACUGUCCCAGCGGAGUCACACAGACUUGUGUUCUCGCCGUGGACUGGGCAGGCCCAGGUGCUGGGAUGGAGCAGGGAGCAGAGGCUUCACCCGUGUGAUGUCACUUCACCUCUGAGCCUCAGAGUCCUCAUCUACAGAAAGGGUUUAAUAACACAUCCGGGCGAGGGUUAAAAGAAAUAAUGUCGACUCUAAUUGUUAACACGGGGCGCUGCCUCUGUGCCUGGCAUUGGGCUAAGUGUUACAUGCAUUAGCUCAUGCCCCAGUUAUUAUUGUAAUCAUAUGCAAAUGGUAACUCAGAACAUUGUGAUGGAAGAGAUGACAUUUGGGUCGGGCCUUGGAGUCUGGCUAAGAUUUAGAACUGUGGGAAAGAGGGGAAGGGAGUUCCGCAGCGGGCACAGCCCAGGUGGGAAGUGCCUGAGUCGGGCAGGAGACGGCAAGGUGGGGCGUGGGAAGGGAAUGCGGUUGAGAUGGUGGUGGACCCUGCAUUCGGUUCAGUGUCAUGUGUUUGCGGCUCAGUGUAAUGUGUUUGCGGGCUGCAGUUUGCCAGGCCCUGUGGUAGGUGCUGAGAAUGCGGCCAUGGGUGAGCCCACGGCCUCCCGGGCGGUCGGAGGCCGGCCAGAGCCUUUGCAAAGUGCCCUGCGUGACUGUCGCCUGCUGUUCCCACAGCCCUGGAGUCGGGGCUCAGGCCCAGUUUGGAGUGUUCUCCACUUGACAGCUGGCUGACCUUGGACAGGUCACUGGGCCGCAGGGCCUCUGUUUCCUCAAUGGGGUGAUGCCUGUACCCACCUCCUGGGGUGAUGUCACCAUUUGCUAAUCACCCCUGCAGAGUGCUGGCCCGUGGCGACGCUGCAUGGUGCCUGUCCGGCUGGGUGGCCUUAGGCAGGCUCCCGAACUGCCCUCUGCCUUCGUUCUUCCCUCUGUCCGCUGGGGUGACGACGAAACCUCCGUCCUCCUGGCCACUGAGAUCGCCCACAUAGAGCUCCUCGCGCAGAGCGGGCACGCGGUCAGAUGGCCGUCAUUAGUGGGCCUUGGGUGUGCUGCAGGCUGCUGUGUAUGUGGGGAGAAGUUUUUCCUGGUUCAUAACUGGCCCCCGGGAGGGGUGACCUAGCAGAGGGGCCCUUCAGGGCACCUGAGGCCGGUAGGGAGGGAGGCCUCGGGGUGGCAGCCACCUUCCCCAGGAAAAGAGACGGCAUUGUGCACAUUCUCGUCCCUGGGACCCAGCCACAGCCCUGGGUUGGGCUUAAGCCUCCCUUUCUGUGGUGAGGAAUCUCUGGGGUGUGUGUGGGGAGCCUUAUUGCUCAAUGGGGCGGUGUCUCUCUGCGGGGGGCGGCCCUGGCUCCGGAUCGCUGCCUCUGGCGUCCUGCUCUGGGCUGUCUUCCCAUUCUGUUCCUACUGUGCGCCAGGCCUUGUCCCAGGUGUGGUGGGCACUGCCAGGGGGAGUCAGACAGGGAACAUGCCUUGACCAACAACUAGGAGAUCAACAGGGGGCUUGUGGGAGCCAGAGAAGCUUUCUGAGCAGCGGAGGAUCCGAGGGCAGGGGGUAGAGAUUUGGAGGUUGCGGCCGGCAUAACAUGGGAGUGGCCUGGCUGGGCGCCAGGGACUAUCGGUAUAGUCUGGGCUGAGCUGGACUGGUUCCUGGCUAGGAAGCCUGCUUCAGCCUGAUGGCCCUGUGCUGGGAGGCAGGGCACGGGGGUGGGAUGGGUGUGGGAAUCCUCUCGGGGCCCCCCAGUGGGGUCCCAGGGACCUGCCAUUGCUCUACAUGCCUGCUUCAGGGCCUGCUCAUGGGGUGACCUGAUCAGUCCCUUGCGCCGCCCCCUCCCCCCCCACCACCGGGUGCUAUUCCCCCUCUGGACAAGGGCUGGCCUGGGGCAUGCAGCCUCCCGCCGUCUGGAUUUGGCUCUGCUGCUAGUUCAGGGUUUUCUCCUAGAUGGGCUGCCCAGCCUGUCCCUUGCUGGCCCCUGGACCUGUCAUUACCCCUCCACCGGGUUCCCCCUGAUUACGGGUCCUGAGCGGGAGCCUUGUCAGCCUUUCUGGCAGCGGCCACCCACAGGCCAGUGCUGCCUGGAGCCCUGCCCCCAGGGGCUGGCGGCCUGGAAGGUGGAGUGAGACGGAUUUGCCUCAACUUAGGUUCCCCGCUAGACUCCGACGGUUCUGGGUGCAUGUCUGUCCCUAGAGAAGUCACUUGCCCUCUCUGAGUCUCCGUGUCCUGCUCUGUAAAGUGGGGACAGUGCAUGAAAGAAUGCGUGCACACGUGUAGCACCAUCCUGGGCACAGAGGAGGCGUGGACAAACAGCCAUUGCUACCGUGUGUUAACAGUCACAAUGGGGAGGGGGUCAUGUAGAAGGGCCCUGGCUAAGUCCUGGGCCAGGGCAAGCCGACCAGUGACCCUAGGAGAGUGUCGACACCUCUAAACCUGAGGCUCUCCUCCUCUCCAUGGAGGCACUUGGAACAACUGUGACACGGAGGUGGAGUCCCGGCCUCGCUCUGUCUCUGCUCUUCCUUCAGCUCCAGGGUGGGUGGCUCUGCGGUGGGUGGGGUUGGGGUGCUGGGCUGUCUCCCCCACAUUCCCUCCUUGGCCCUGCUCCCCAGCGCCCUGGGAACUAGGCAGGCAGGUUCCGGGCCACCCCGCCCGCCAGGGUUUCAGUAAGCAAAUCUCUCAGCCCUGAAACCAGGCUGGGCCUGGUGGCGAGGUGUGGCCCGGAGCCCACUGGAGGGACCGGAUGGGCCAGGAGCGGGUCUGGCACAGUGCCCUCAGCUGAGGCCAAAACAGGGCUGGCACCAGCGUGAAGCCCCCAGGGUUGGCACAAGGCUGAUGUGGUCUCAGGGGGAGAGCUUCCUCUUUGCCCUGGCACCCCACUAUCAGCAGAGUGGAGGGCCCGGGGCCUGGGCUCAGAUCCUGCUGUCUCUGGGAGCGGGUCUCAGUUCUCUGGGUCUCCAUCUCCUUGUCUGAAACGUUCCUCCGAUAUGACAGCACCUGGCGCGGGGUUGACUUGAGGAUUUGGGGGGGUGGUCCAGCUCAAAGUUUUAGCUCAGGGGUGGCACGUGCUGGGCUUUGGAAGGGCCGCAAGAAAGCAAAGAAACUCCUUAGCUUGGCUUCCGGACUCUGCAGGGUGUUACCUACCUGGGUCCAUUCUCCGAGGACCCUGCACUCCUUCCUCCCAUUCUCAGCUCAGCAAGGACUUUCUCUUCUCUGAGCCUCAGUUUCCCUAUGGGAACAAUGAGCUCAGUACCCCAUCUUCUACUCCACCCCAGAGUCUCCAGGCAACUCCAGGCCACCCUGGGGCCUCCCCAGUUCUUGCCCAGCCUCUGCUAUCUGAAUGCAGGAAGUAGCGUGAUCCUUAACGUUGUCAGUUUGGAAAAUCAGAGAUUAAUGUCCUUCCGGCUGCUUUGGCUGCUGUCGGUGCUGGUCCUGGGGAUGGGGGGACAGUGGUUGCUGGCCCCUGUGUCAAGGGCUUCUCCCUGGGUUGGAAGAGCCUUGGACAUGAACACUUCAUAGGCGUCUCCAUUAGUGCUGUACCUCCUCCCAUCAGGGCCAGUGCACACUCUCCUUUGCCCAUAGAUCUUCUUAUCACCCAGUCAGGCAUCUACUGUUGUGCCAUUUUGCAGCGACGGAAACAGAGGCCCCGAGAGGGGAACUGCCGUGGCCGAAGCCACAUAGAUAGUAGGUGGCAGAGCCGGGGCUUUCAUCCAGAGCUCAGGUCCCUGGAGGAGAUGGGCUGAGUCCUGCCCCUCACCCCACCCCCAUCCUUCUGCCCAGCCUGGGGGUGACUGUGGUCAGCUCCCACUCAGUUGACUCACCCGCAGCUCAGAGGAGGUGGUCAGCUCCUGGGGCCAGGACAACACCGAUUAGAUCGUCAUUAAGAUAUUAAGUCAGCUGAGCCAACAGAGACCCACCCACCCAUUUUAUAGGUGGGAUGAUUGAGGCCCAGAGAAGAUGGACAAGUAGGGACCCAGUAGGUGUGAAGGUUCCCUGCUAACUCUGACCAGAGCGGGGGAUGGAGCCCCCAGACUGCAGGCCUGGCUCUGACAGUGGAGCCACUGGCGUGACCUUGGGAAAGUCACUGCCUCUCUGAACCUCAGAAUCCUCACCUGUAAAACGGGACAGUUAAAGUCGGCUUUACCUGCCUCUUGGGACCAGACAGAGACCCAGCCAGAAAGUGUGAGGUAGGGCUUCGGAAAGCCCAUUGUGCUGCAGCGUGGGAGGCCAGCGGAGGAGGAGGCUUUGGUGUGAGGCACGGCUUGAAACCCACCUCUUGCCCUUCCAGGCUGUGUGUCUUUGAGUAAGUCGCCAGGUCUCCCUGAGCCUCAGUUUCCUUAUCUGUAAAGUGGGCGUAACAGUAUCUGUUCACAUUUGCUGUUGAACAUGCAUAUGUUCACAGAGGAUAGCACGCCUGGUAAACUCGGGGGCUUCUGGGGCAGAGUUAGGACUGGCUGGUGAGAAGCCCCCCAACCCCCCCGAGUCACCCUCAAUGGUCCCAAAGGACACACCCUUUGGAGACAGGGUUCCGGGCAUUCAGGGGGCAGAGCCUCCUAAGAUCCCAAGAUUUAAAGAUGCAAGAUCCCUUACUCAGCCAGCUCACUGAAAGGCUUAAAUCUAAAACAACCCGUGUGUGUGUGUGUGUGUGUGUGUGUGUGUGUGUGUGUGACUGUAUGUGUGUGACUGUGUGUGUGAGAGUGAGUGUGUGUGUGAGUGUAUCUGUGUGAGUGUGUGUCUAUGUGUGAGUGUGUGUCUGUGUGAGUGUGUGUCUGUGUGAGAGAGAGUGUGUGUGUGUGCUGCCCUGGUCCCCAUGUCCUGGGAAGUAUCCUCUUUGGAGCCCACUACCCUCGUACUGCAGACAUGACGUGGAGAUGGAGGCCCCGGGUGGGCAGUGGCUCCCUGAGGUUGAGCACAGUGGGGUACUCAGGUGCACCCCUAGAGUUCACGGGCUGCUGCGGGAAUCAGGACCCCCACGGGUGGGCCCUUCCUGUGACAACCCAUGGAACUGCACACUAGGUUUUUGUGACUGACGGAGAGAAAUGGCCCUUGGUGAGCCACUAAGCUUUCUGACCUCGGUUCAUACACCUGUAAAGAGAGAGCUUUACCGUACUCACCUCUGGGCCAUUUGAAGAAUCUGGGUGUGUUGGGCCCUCCUAAUUCUGUGGGACGUGCUGGCAGAGGGGCACAGAAGGGGGCAGUGAUCGGCUCUGGACACUAGUGGAGGCAGUAGGUUAUGCCAAGGGACCCCGCCAAGGUUGAGUGGGAGCCUGGGUUCCGGGUGCUCCACGCACACACCCAGCCUGCCUUUCCCACCCCCUCACCUCUGCCUGUGCCGUUCCUUUCUCCUCAUGGGCUCACCUUUGUCUGUUGAAGACUUGCCCACCUUUAUCAUUAUUCUUAUUUUUUGAUUAUUUUCCUGGUUCUUUUUUUCCCCCAAAAGUUUUUAUUGGAUUUUUUUCAAACUAUAAAAGUUAUACCUGCUAAUAGGAACGUUAGUCUCUUAUAUUGUUGUUAGAGGCUGAGAACUGUUAUGAUUAAAAGUAACAUUUAUGGAGGUCUGAACUGAGCGCUUCAAGGGCUAUCCUUGACCUGCAGAGCACUGUGAAUGGAUUGUGUUAUGCCCAUUUUACAGAUGAGGAACUUGAGGCUCUGAGAGAGCUAGGCUGCUGCAGGCCUGGGGUCUGGCGGAACUGGGACUCCAUCUCCCGCCCUGUGCUCCUCACCAGGAAGCUGGGAGCCUGAGGCUGGAGGGCAAGCUCUCAGUCCCACUACUUUCUCCUGCUUACAGCACUUGGGGCUGGGUCAAUGCCAGGAGGGAGGGGGAAUGGGUGAGAGAAUGUGGAAGGUAGAUGAAGCCAGCACACACCCUCAGACGUCUCUGCCCCAGCAUCUCUGUAGCUCCCAGCAGCAACUGGAUCCCUACAACUAGCCUGGGUCUCUCAGUUCCUGGGCCCAGGGGCGGAGGGUGCCCUAUGGAGCAGUGGUCGGAGCAGGGUCAGGAGGGGGUCAGCAGGCUGCGGCUUGAACCCUGAGUGCCUCAGCCUGGCCUCGGGGGAGCCCCUCACCCUCUUUGGCUGAGUCUCCUUCAUGGUUGUGAGCCUUGGUCUUGGAGUUCCCAAAUCCAUGGUGUGGUGUCUCCAGAAGCUCUGGGAGGAAGUGAGAAGAGCUGGUGUGGCAGGUGGGGAGGACAGAGGGGCGCCUGAGGCCUCGGGGCCACCCAUGCAUGGGAAUUCAAGCUGUAAAAUCCCGGUGGCAGCCCCAGGGAGACAGCCCCUGCAGGGAGGCAGGAAAGGAAAGUGGGGUGCAGAGUAGCAUUUGUAGGGAGGGGGCUGGCAGGGUCCUCCUCCUCCAGCAACAUUUGGCCAGAGAGGGAGACCCUGUCCAGGGUGUGUCCCCUGCCGGCUCUUUGUCCUUGAAGGGGGCUGGCCCCCUCCCCUCCUGCCUCUCUGAGGUCCAGAGUCCUCAUCCUCGGUCUUCCUGUGGCACUUCCUUUGUAUCCAGCCGGGGGCAGCUCCUCCCAAGCUGUCUUAGGACAUUUCUCAAGAAUGUGCUUGGGGCUACCUCUGCCAAGAAGCCACAGCGUUCCCCCACUGUCUCCCCUUUCCAGCGCUCCCUUUCCUGCCAAACUUAGGCGAGCGCCCAGCUCUCUAGCGAAGCCACCUCUUAGUCCACCCCUUACCCAGCCUCUGCCCGUCCUGUAGGGCCUGGUACAGAGCAGGCCCUCAGUAACCAUUUGGGGAAUGGACUCCCCUCCCUCAGCACCUGCUGUGCCAGGCCACAGGGGCGACCACAAGCCCACCCGCCUGGGGUUUGCAGUCAAUCCUUAGACACAAACGAGCAUCCCCAGCUACUUGGCUCCUGAGUUGGGAGAGCAAGACGGGUGUGAGAGACCCCACGCUCUUCAAUCUGUUUGGUUCUAGAAUUUUAGGCGGCAAAGGGUUUAUCUAAAAAUGCCAAAU